rnacentral:lncRNA from 1 species
CUACAUGCAGUAUUUUUCCACCCAAAGAAGAAAAAAUUAAACAUUUGGGUUCGGAUGUGUUGGAAGGCAGUAAUGACAGCAGUGGAAAAUGGAUUAUAGGAGAAAAGUGUGUGUUAAAGAAUCACGAAAGGGAUAACCAGAAAGAUUUCAUCUUGGUUUUAAAGGCUGAAAACUCCAAAGAAAGCAAGGUUAUUACAGAUCAUUUCCAGAAACAGGCUGGAAAGAGUUGCAACCUCUCCUCUACUGAGUCUCAGAAAAGAAAAGAUGACCUUGAAGAUCUCAUGUUAAAUUUUACAUUUUUGAAGAGAGAGAGGGAUCAGACAGAUCAGCCAACAUCCAAGCAUGAAGAAGGGGGUGACAGGACUUUUGAGGUGAGAAAACCUUGCCCUGAUUGUGCAAGCCUCAGUUAUCCAGAUGUAAACUGUUGCAACAGAUGUGGCUGUGCUUUAACUGGACUAAUACAGUCCAGGGAAGACAAUAUGGAACCUAAAUGCAAGAUGACCCUUGGCAAUGUGACCAAUGAACAGAACAGGUGUUUUUUCAAUCCAGUCAUCAAAUCUGAACAAGUCUUGGAAAGCAGCUCAGAAGAAUCCCCCCAAACAAGCAAAAAUAGUGAUGAUGGCAAAGAGUUCUGCUGGGAGGAUGAACCACUGUUAGAUUCACACCGUGAUAUAGGUGUUUUGGAAAAAUAUUAUUUUUAUUUGAAUUAUUUGAAUAAAACCAGAAGUCUUCAUCCCAGAGAGGGAAAGGAAUCUUUUCCUUUUCAAGAAUUAAAUGGCUUUUCUAAAGAACAAAGGUUUGCCAAAUGUCUCAAGAGUAAGGUGGUUGAACAAAAGGAGACGGAAGAAACUAACAGUGAUUGUAGAGAUUCUCAACUAAACUGUGUUAGUUCAGACUGUAAGUAUUCUGAACUAAACAGAAAUGCUGAUGCUAUAGAGCAAGAGGAAAGCCAAGUUGAAGAGCUAGAAAUGCUUGAAACAGAAUCUGUUUCAGAAAGUGACUCUCUCAGUAAAAUAAAGAAGAAAAACAGCCAAGUAUUAAUAG